rnacentral:rRNA from 1 species
ACCCGCUGAACUUAAGCAUAUCAAUAAGCGGAGGAAAAGAAACUAACAAGGAUUCCCCUAGUAACUGCGAGUGAAGCGGGAAAAGCUCAAAUUUAAAAUCUGGCGGUCUUUGGCCGUCCGAGUUGUAAUCUAGAGAAGUGUUACCCGCGUCGGACCGUGUACAAGUCUCCUGGAAUGGAGCGUCAUUGAGGGUGAGAAUCCCGUCUUUGACACGGACUACCGAGGCUUUGUGGUGCGCUCUCAAAGAGUCGAGUUGUUUGGGAAUGCAGCUCAAAAUGGGUGGUAAAUUCCAUCUAAAGCUAAAUAUUGGCGAGAGACCGAUAGCGAACAAGUACCGUGAGGGAAAGAUGAAAAGAACUUUGGAAAGAGAGUUAAACAGUACGUGAAAUUGCUGAAAGGGAAACGCUUGAAGUCAGUCGCGUUGUCCGGGAAUCAGCCUUCCUUCUGGUUGGUGUACUUCCUGGUUGACGGGCCAGCAUCAGUUUUGACCGGUGGAAAAAGUUCGAGGGAAUGUGGCACCUCCGGGUGUGUUAUAGCCCUCGUUCGUAUACAUCGGUUGGGACUGAGGAACUCAGCACGCCGCAAGGCCGGGAUUCGUCCACGUUCGUGCUUAGGAUGCUGGCAUAAUGGCUUUAAUCGACCCGUCUUGAAACACGG